UACGUAGGGUGAGAGCGUUGUCCGGAAUUAUUGGGCGUAAAGAGCUCGUAGGCGGUGUGUCGCGUCGGCCGUGAAAACCUGGGGCUCAACUCUGGGCGUGCGGUCGAUACGGGCAUCACUAGAGUUCGGCAGGGGAGACUGGAAUUCCUGGUGUAGCGGUGAAAUGCGCAGAUAUCAGGAGGAACACCGGUGGCGAAGGCGGGUCUCUGGGCCGAUACUGACGCUGAGGAGCGAAAGCAUGGGUAGCGAACAGG
rnacentral:rRNA from 1 species